GGCGAUUUAGCUCAGUUGGUUAGAGCGUGUGCUUAACACUAGCAACCCCUCCUCCUCUCGAAGAAGGCGGUUGAAGCGUUGCGCACAAGGUCGGCGGUUCGACCCCGUCAAACGUCA